CGACCUACUAAAUAGUUGGACGAACUCUCCGGGGUUCGGACUAACUACUUAGAGGGACUUUUGAUGAGUAGUCAAAGGAAGUUCGAGGCAAUAACAGGUCUGUGAUGCCCUUAGAUGUUCUGGGCCGCACGUGUUCUACAAUGAUGCAGGCAGCGAGUUUUAACCUUUUCCGACAGGAAUGGGUAAUCUUGUGAAACUGCAUCGUGCUGGGGAUAGUCCUUUGCAAUUAUUGGACUUGAACGAGGAAUUCCUAGUAAGCGUGAGUCAUCAGCUUGCGUUGAUUACGUCCCUGCCCUUUGUACACACCGCCCGUCGCU
rnacentral:rRNA from 1 species